rnacentral:misc_RNA from 1 species
AAGUCGUAACAAGGUUUCCGUAGGUGAACCUGCGGAAGGAUCAUUAGUGAACGAUUGGAGCUCGCCCUGGCGGAUCUUCUAAUCCUCACCCUGUGCACCGUGACAUUUUUUCAAAACGCUUUGAAAGUCAAUGGAUGUCUUGCUACCCAUUAAUAUGGCACAAAAUGAAGCAACGGAUCUCUUGGCUCUC